CGCACCUUGCGCUCCUUGGUAUUCCAUGGAGCAUGCCUGUUUGAGUGUCACGUGAAAUCAUCAUCCUAGGUGAAACCUCGGUUUUGCCAAGUGAUGGACUUGGACUGUGCCGUUGUUGGCUCGUCCUGAAAUGCAUUAGCCGCGAUUGUCGUCCGGUACACUCGGUGUGAUAGACAUCUACGCCGUGAGUGCUCAGGUCGAUGUGGCUCACAGUCUCCUCUUGUGAGGAAAAACAUCUUUACGCUCUGGCCUCAAAUCAGGUAGGACUACCCGCUGAACUUAA
rnacentral:misc_RNA from 1 species